GAGCGCCGUGUGCGGGGAAACUCGCACGCACGGUGCGGAGUGGGGGAAAAUUCGGAGAUAACUUCAAAGAAUUACCUAUCACUAU
rnacentral:ncRNA from 1 species